GCGUCGACCCGCGUGGUGAGUAUGGACCUGCCCUCUGCUGAGACCUCUAGUUACUACAGCUAUGCAAAUAAUAAUAAUAAUGACUUUUUUUUCCCAAGUCCUUCCCCAUUCUGUGCCAACUUGUUACUGGCCACCCAUGCAUGGCCCAUUCUGUGAGCUGAGAUAUUAUACAUGGAGUUAUCUAGAUCCUUAUAACACACUCUUCAUAAUUCUUGCAAAUGAUUAACUCAAUGUCUAUUCAGCCUUGUUCAUUUUCCUUUCACCUGCUUGUUGUGAACAUCUGUGCAAGUACGGCUUUGUUUGUGUAAAUGUUCAGGCAAAGCAAAGUUUGGACCCUUGGUUAAAAUCUCUGUAAUGAAGAAACAAAAUGUGUUUAGAGCUCGAUGAUGUAAUUCAGUGAGAGGCCUGUGCUGGGAUCAGUGGGAUGGAGGUGACCAUCCCAGGGGGAACACUGCUCUGUCUGAUUAAGGGAGGGGAGUUGAAUUCCAGACUCAAAGAUCCUACACUGAACUUGCCCUUUUACCAGCUGACUCAUGCAUAAACAUCUGCGAACUGUAAACUCAAGUGUCCCAAUCAAGUGCUGGUAAGAAACUCAAGGAAAUAAUUGGUGUGUCUUUCAGGCCAAUAGCAACACUUUGAAUUGAGCCUGGAAGCCCAUUCAGUUUCCGGAACAUAGAGAGACGUGCAUGUUCCAUUCCAGAAACUGUAUUAUACUGAUCAAGCCUCCUUGAGACUGUCAGCUGAUUAUCCACUACGUUCCCCAAGUCUUUUUAAGAGUCACUGCUUCCUAGGACAGAGUCCCCCAUCCUGUUGAAGCUGUUACAAAGAGAAAAAACCCUUGGUGUGGUCUGAAGAACAGCUCACCUAACUGAGCCCUUGUUGGAGCUGGAGGUGAUCUCUGGUAAGCUUACUAGCAUGCAUAUAGAAUGAGAAAGUAAAUAAGAAUGAAGCUCACAAGAGUGGAAAUGGAGAGUUGCUGAAGGGAAGGAAACACAUAAGACAGGAGGAGACACAGAAAAGACAAAGGGAGAGGAACACAGAAAGGAGGAUGGAAAAGGAAGUGAAGCAAAAGGCAGAAAUUGCCAUGGUCCUAAA